rnacentral:rRNA from 1 species
UACGAAGGGGGGCUAGCGUUGUUCGGAAUCACUGGGCGUAAAGGGCGCGUAGGCGGCCUGAUAAGUCGGGGGUGAAAGCCUGUGGCUCAACCACAGAAUUGCCCUUCGAUACUGUUAGGCUUGAGACCGGAAGAGGUAAGUGGAACUGCGAGUGUAGAGGUGAAAUUCGUAGAUAUUCGCAAGAACACCAGUGGCGAAGGCGGCUUACUGGUCCGGUUCUGACGCUGAGGCGCGAAAGCGUGGGGAGCAAACAGG